rnacentral:rRNA from 1 species
CUUGCUCUUUCCGGAAUUGAGUGGCAAACGGGUGAGUAACACGUAAACAACCUGCCUUCAGGAUGGGGACAACAGACGGAAACGACUGCUAAUACCGAAUAAGUUCCAAGAGCCGCAUGGCCCAUGGAAGAAAAGGUGGCCUCUACCUGUAAGCUAUCGCCUGAAGAGGGGUUUGCGUCUGAUUAGCUGGUUGGAGGGGUAACGGCUCACCAAGGUAACGAUGCGUAGCCGAACUGAGAGGUUGAUCGGCCACACUGGGACUGAGAUACGGCCCAGACUCC